rnacentral:lncRNA from 1 species
UGCUGAGCUCCUGGGUGUGGAAACCUGGGUGGGGAUAAAAUGAGGCCGUCCUUGGAGGAGAGGGGCUGGAAGGGGGCAGUCCCCGUCCUCACUGUCCUCUCUGCCACUCUCCACAGCUUCUGCAGAUGGCCUCCCCUCUCUGCGAGUGGUUCCUUAUCGAGGCAAUGGAGAUGUGGACUGCGGUGACUCUGAUCAAGCCUCACAUAUCUAUUGAAUCAGGAACCCCGAAGUCCUGAGGCCUCCCGAGUGGCCCCAUGGGAGCGUCGUGCAUUUUUCUGGUCAGGCCCGAUGACGAUGCUGGCCUGGCGGGGGACUUGGCUGACCCGGCCUCCGCACAGGUGGACUAGUUCACAGAGCUUGGCCACUGGGGGGCUGCUGGCAGGCGAGACAAACAUCACUGGCUGGUCGGCAAAGAGGGUUCCGCGGUACGGCCCUGCAGACAAGUGGCACUCACUUCGGCACAGCUGUGGGGCAGACAGAGACAGAAUUACAGAGGUGGGACCACUCCAGUCUCCAUAGCGUAGGCGAACUGUUGCAGUUUACUUCCUUUUUUAUGAAAAGAAUAGACUGAAUGUAAGGCUGCCAUGCUCCUGUGAAUUUUGAAUUCUGAGAAUCCAGAGAAGAUGAUGACAUUAAUGACAUAAAACUGACAUUUUCUGAAGUAGCCAUGCGUAAAACUCCAAGGAAACAAAUUAGAAAAAAAAAAGUGUAGGCCUUUGAAUUAUUCCAAAGCCUCAAACAAAAUAUUGAAAAGCAACUGUUAGCACAGCAGAGCCAUAGCUAGGCUGAACUCUC